rnacentral:rRNA from 1 species
GCUUACACAUGCAAGUCGAGCAGUAACAUUUCUAGCUUGCUAGAAGAUGACGAGCGGCGGACGGGUGAGUAACGCGUAGGAAUCUGCCUAGUAGUGGGGGACAACAUGUGGAAACGCAUGCUAAUACCGCAUACGCCCUACGGGGGAAAGGAGGGGAUCUUCGGACCUUUCGCUAUUAGAUGAGCCUGCGUGAGAUUAGCUAGUUGGUGGGGUAAAGGCCUACCAAGGCGACGAUCUCUAGCUGGUCUGAGAGGAUGAUCAGCCACACUGGGACUGAGACACGGCCCAGACUCCUACGGGAGGCAGCAGUGGGGAAUAUUGGACAAUGGGCGCAAGCCUGAUCCAGCCAUGCCGCGUGUGUGAAGAAGGCCUUAGGGUUGUAAAGCACUUUCAGGAGUGAGGAAGGGUGUACGGUUAAUACCCGUAUAUUUUGACGUUAACUCCAGAAGAAGCACCGGCUAACUCUGUGCCAGCAGCCGCGGUAAUACAGAGGGUGCGAGC